GAUGAAGAACGCAGCGAAAUGCGAUAAGUAAUGUGAAUUGCAGAAUUCAGUGAAUCAUCGAAUCUUUGAACGCACAUUGCGCCCGCCAGUAUUCUGGCGGGCAUGCCUGUCCGAGCGUCAUUUCAACCCUCGAACCCCUCCGGGGGGUCGGCGUUGGGGACCUCGGGAGCCCCUAAGACGGGAUCCCGGCCCCGAAAUACAGUGGCGGUCUCGCCGCAGCCUCUCCUGCGCAGUAGUUUGCACAACUCGCACCGGGAGCGCGGCGCGUCCACGUCCGUAAAACACCCAACUUCUGAAAUGUUGACCUCGGAUCAGGUAGGAAAACCCGCUGAACUUAAGCAUAUCAAUAAGCGGAGAA
rnacentral:misc_RNA from 1 species